AGCCCUCCUCUCUUCCUCGGGUCAAAUUUGACCCAUUUUCAAAGUUUUUUAAAUAAGAAAUAUGUGUUUCUUACAACCAAAUUGUCCCAAAAUAACUGGGAUGAAUUUUGACAAACAGGUAG